rnacentral:rRNA from 1 species
UACGUAGGGUGCAAGCGUUAAUCGGAAUUACUGGGCGUAAAGCGUGCGCAGGCGGUUCGUUGUGUCUGAUGUGAAAGCCCCGGGCUCAACCUGGGAAUGGCAUUGGAAACUGGCGAGCUAGAGUGUGGCAGAGGGGGGUGGAAUUCCGCGUGUAGCAGUGAAAUGCGUAGAGAUGCGGAGGAACACCGAUGGCGAAGGCAGCCCCCUGGGCUAGCACUGACGCUCAGGCACGAAAGCGUGGGUAGCAAACAGG